rnacentral:ncRNA from 2 species
CCAAUAGCGUAUAUUAAAGUUGUUGCAGUUAAAAAGCUCGUAGUUGAAUUUCGGGAUUGACGUGACGGUCGUGCCUUACGGGGUAUGAACUGUCGCCGUUGAUUUCUCACCUUCUGGAGAAGCUCGAUGUCCUUAAUUGGGUGUCUUGCGGAACCAGGACCUUUACCUUGAAAAAAUUAGAGUGUUUAAAGCAGGCAUUAUUGCUCGAAUACAUUAGCAUGGAAUAAUAGAAUAGGACGGCAUGGUUCUAUUUUGUUGGUUUCUAGGAUCACCGUAAUGAUUAAUAGGGAUAGUUGGGGGCAUUAGUAUUCAAUUGUCAGAGGUGAAAUUCUUGGAUUUAUUGAAGACUAACUACUGCGAAAGCAUUUGCCAAGGAUGUUUUCAUUAAUCAAGAACGAAAGUUAGGGGAUCGAAGACGAUCAGAUACCGUCGUAGUCUUAACCAUAAACUAUGCCGACUAGGAAUCAGACGAUGUUAAUUUUUUAAUGACUCGUUUGGCACCUUACG